CUCCAGUGGUAGAGCACCGCCCUUGUGAAGCGGAGGUCCCGGGUUCGAAUCCCU
rnacentral:tRNA from 1 species